rnacentral:rRNA from 1 species
CCCAAAUUCCUACGGGAGGCUGCAGUAGGGAAUCUUCCACAAUGGGCGAAAGCCUGAUGGAGCAACGCCGCGUGUGUGAUGAAGGCUUUCGGGUCGUAAAGCACUGUUGUAUGGGAAGAAAAGUUAAGGUAGGGAAUGACCUUAGCCUGACGGUACCAUACCAGAAAGGGACGGCUAAAUACGUGCCAGCAGCCGCGGUAAUACGUAUGUCCCGAGCGUUAUCCGGAUUUAUUGGGCGUAAAGCGAGCGCAGACGGUUGGUUAAGUCUGAUGUGAAAGCCCGGAGCUCAACUCCGGAAAGGCAUUGGAAACUGGUUAACUUGAGUGCAGUAGAGGUAAGUGGAACUCCAUGUGUAGCGGUGGAAUGCGUAGAUAUAUGGAAGAACACCAGCGGCGAAGGCGGCUUACUGGACUGUAACUGACGUUGAGGCUCGAAAGUGUGGGUAGCAAACAGGAUUAGAUACCCUGGUAGUCCACACCGUAAACGAUGAACACUAGGUGUUAGGAGGUUUCCGCCUCUUAGUGCCGAAGCUAACGCAUUAAGUGUUCCGCCUGGGGAGUACGACCGCAAGGUUGAAACUCAAAGGAAUUGACGGGGACCCGCACAAGCGGUGGAGCAUGUGGUUUAAUUCGAAGCAACGCGAAGAACCUUACCAGGUCUUGACAUCCUUUGAAGCUUUUAGAAAUAGAAGUGUUCUCUUCGGAGACAAAGUGACAGGUGGUGCAUGGUCGUCGUCAGCUCGUGUCGUGAGAUGUUGGGUUAAGUCCCGCAACGAGCGCAACCCUUAUUGUUAGUUGCCAGCAUUCAGAUGGGCACUCUAGCGAGACUGCCGGUGACAAACCGGAGGAAGGCGGGGACGACGUCAGAUCAUCAUGCCCCUUAUGACCUGGGCUACACACGUGCUACAAUGGCGUAUACAACGAGUUGCCAACCUGCGAAGGUGAGCUAAUCUCUUAAAGUACGUCUCAGUUCGGACUGCAGUCUGCAACUCGACUGCACGAAGUCGGAAUCGCUAGUAAUCGCGGAUCAGCACGCCGCGGUGAAUACGUUCCCGGGUCUUGUACACACCGCCCGUCACACCAUGGAAGUUUGUAAUGCCCAAAGCCGGUGGCCUAACCGUAAGGAGGGAACCGUCUAAG